GGUAACAUGGCCGAGUUGGUCUAAGGCGUUGGAUUUAAGUUUCCGCUUGAUUCCCAAUGGGUGCAAACCCGCGUGAGUUCGAACCUCACUGUUACCA